rnacentral:lncRNA from 1 species
AAUGAGAUCAUGCUUCAUAAAACACCUGGUUCUUUGUGUAUCUGUCACACAAGGGAUAACCAAUAUGACUAUUUGGUUACAUUUGGCUUUUGUUGCUUAGUUUAUUCUUACAUAGAUGGGCAGCUGGAUGUUAGGGAAAAACAGGGACAGGAAAGAGACUCCAUCCAGUGGCUCUCUGAAGAUUCACCCUUGUUAUCAGUCACUUGGGAUUCUGUUAUCAGAAUUUGGGAUUGCUUGUUAUCACAGCAUUACCUAGUCUACCCUGACUAAUACAAGGGCACUUUGAGAAUCUGAUGGAAGCUCAGGCCACAAGAAAACUGCACAUUCAUGCAAAAUUCAGAACCUUUCAAUUUUAAUGUCUUGAGAUUUCGUUGUGUUUCUAAGAUCCUUGAUGUCCCACAGCCUCCUCUUCUCAGCCUUGGAAUCUGAGGCACCUGGGUUGUAAGUGAUGCUAUGUCAGUGUUCACAAAGGCUCACAAGUCUGCGAAGUGGCCAAGAUGAGCUGACCCUGUCACCAUGGAGCAAGGCCUAUGUGUGCAAAUGAGUCAUGAGCUGAGAGGAAAGAGCUUGAGCCUGAGCUUUUUUUUUUCUUUUCUUUUCUUUUCUUUUUAUGAUGAUUGCUUGAGCCUGAGCUUGUUUGCCAGAUGCUUUCACUAGCCCAAGCUUGUUUUGUGGAUGCUUUCUGCUGCCAGCUACUUUGUAGUCCCUCCUGUGUGACAGCAUCUUGCCAUCAACGGGCUGCAGAAGAAGGGGUGCUUGUUGCUAUUGUGAGCAAACACUGCAUAAACAAUCAGCUCACAUGUGUGUCCCAGAGCGUAUGACCAAUGACCUGGAGAACUCUCAGGCUGUGGGGUGGAGAGAAGGCCAUUCUGAGGUCAACUGAAACCUCACUUGAGGGGCAGUUCCGUAGAUGGGAAUGAGGAGAGAGUCAUGGCCACAGCCACCUGGCCAAGGAGAGAGGCCAUAACUGCCAGACAGAACCAAGGAUGGAGGGACUUCAGCAGCACGAACAAUCCACACUCAGCAUGGGUCACUCUCUGGGACACACAUUUCCCUCUGGCUGAAAGGCUGAGCUGCUCCAGGGCCAACUGUGAGGAAGAAGAGACCACUCACCUGUAAUUUCAACAGCAACAAAAGACCUGAGGUUCCACCAUCAGAACUUCACGCCCUAAGGAAGAUGCAGCAUUUCCUGUAAAAUGCAAGUGCUCCCAGGCAGAGGUAGCUCCCGAAGCCAUGAUCAGUUAUGUAUACCUUAGUGGCAGCUGAUUAACAGACUCUUCCCCAGAGCCAGCUGACAGGAAGCACAUCGGGGUAAAAGGGAAGAUGAAAACUUGGGUGCCUGGAGGAAGGGAACAAAUGCGAGCAGGAGCAUGGUAAUAACAUAGAGCCAGAAUUGAUUUCGUGGCUUUCUUUCUCCUCUUCUGGGAUUUUGUGCCCUAUUGCCACAGAAACCCUGGGCCCCUUCCCCAGCUGUCAUGAAGGUGCCUGAGUGAUGGUCAGAGAGAUGACCGGAGGGGCCCACCCGGCCACCGCAGCAGCAGCAGCCAAGGCGGGACUAAGCCUCCACACCCCACAUCUCAGUCGUGGCCAGCCCGGGAUGCCUGCCUCUCCUGCCCUGUGGUGUUGCUGUCCUCAUAUGACCCUUCAGUCCCCCGACAUCUGGACAGGCUUUAGGGACCUGCUUGAGCAGAACAUGGUAGAAGUGAUGGACUGGGGCUUCUGAGGCUAAGCCAUAAGAAGCCUUGAGAAUUUCACCUGGCCCUCACUGUCUCUGGGAGCCCUGAGCCAUGAUAGAAGAAGUCCUUCCUAUAUUGAAUGUCCUUGAGACCUCCAGUACUGGAAAGGGCAUUUGUAGAUGCUCAGACCAACAGUCCAAACUGAGCCCAGUCUGCCAACUUGCCCUGCCAAGGUGUCAGAUGCAUAUGUGAAUGAGACCAUCCUAGACCUGCUGAUAGCCCAUCACCCGGCUGACUGCUACUGAGUAACCUCUGCCAACUUCACGCCGAACACAGAACUGCUGAUUUGAACUCUGCCUGAAUUUCUUGGCCCACAGAACAAUGAGAUAUAAUUAAAAGGCAAUGGUUCAAGCCA